rnacentral:lncRNA from 10 species
GUAAAGAAAACAACGGAGAUGGAAAAGCUCAAGAAUGCAGUCAGCUUUCUCCAUCCACCCUGACAUACAGUGUGAAAUAUGACUGACUGAAGCUCCGCUUUCAAGAUAAAGGAUGAUCGUCACAACGGCUAGUAUUUGUGGGCUUCCCGUAGUUGUCUAGAGUUACCAAGUGGCAAGUGGCUGCCGCGAGAUGAACGCGGAGUAGCUUGGCCGUAAAGACCAUGUUCUCGGAUUUUAGAUUGGGAUCUCAGGAAGACAAGAGGUCAAUAUUACUCUGAGCAAUUGCCAUCCACAGGGAAAUGGAUACACGAAGGUGAUGGGGAGCUGAUUCUGGGCUCCUCAACACCAGCAAGUAAAGAUAACCCUUCCCCGCAUAACGUUUGAAAUACAGGUGGUGUGACUUCUGCAAAAGGUGGAUUAGCCCCAAACACGUGGUGCGCGUUCACAGGGAUUCUGGGAAAAAGUCUUCCUGAAAUAAACUCUUCCAUUUGCUCUCAGAUGCCUGGAAUUCUUUACCACCAAAAGGAAAUCCUUUCAUCCAAUGUUUACAGUAAAGGAUUACAAUGCACAUACACUGGGAAAGG